rnacentral:rRNA from 1 species
AAGACCUUGCGCUUUUGGAGCGGCCGAUGUCUGAUUAGCUUGUUGGUAAGGUAAAAGCUUACCAAGGCUUCGAUCAGUAGCUGGUCUGAGAGGACGACCAGCCACACUGGGACUGAGACACGGCCCAGACUCCUACGGGAGGCAGCAGUGGGGAAUUUUGGACAAUGGGGGCAACCCUGAUCCAGCCAUGCCGCGUGAGUGAAGAAGGCCUUCGGGUUGUAAAGCUCUUUCAGCCGGAACGAAACGGUUACGGUUAAUACCCGUGACUACUGACGGUACCGGAAGCAGAAGCACCGGCUAACUACGUGCCAGCAGCCGCGGUAAUACGUAGGGUGCAAGCGUUAAUCGGAAUUACUGGGCGUAAAGCGUGCGCAGGUGGUUUUGUAAGUCAGAUGUGAAAUCCCCGGGCUUAACCUGGGAACU